rnacentral:tRNA from 1 species
AGCCGGGUCGUCUAGCGGCCAAGGAUGGCGGGCUUUGGACCCAACAGGGGUAGAAACCCGUUGACCCCGGUUCGAAUCCGGGCCCGGCUACCA